CUGAGUAACCACCGACCUAAGUUCCUGGAACAGGACGUCAUAGAGGGUGAGAAUCCCGUAUGCGGUCGGAAAGGUGCUCUAUACGUAGCUCCUUCGACGAGUCGAGUUGUUUGGGAAUGCAGCUCUAAAUGGGAGGUAAAUUUCUUCUAAAGCUAAAUAUUGGCCAGAGACCGAUAGCGCACAAGUAGAGUGAUCGAAAGAUGAAAAGCACUUUGGAAAGAGAGUUAAAAAGCACGUGAAAUUGUUAAAAGGGAAGGGAUUGCAACCAGACUUGCUCGCGGUGUUCCGCCGGUCUUCUGACCGGUCUACUCGCCGCGUUGCAGGCCAGCAUCGUCUGGUGCCGCUGGAUAAGACUUGAGGAAUGUAGCUCCCUCGGGAGUGUUAUAGCCUCUUGUGAUGCAGCGAGCGCCGGGCGAGGUCCGCGCUUCGGCUAGGAUGCUGGCGUAAUGGUCGUAAUCCGCCCGUCUUGAAACACGGACCAAGGAGUCUAACAUCUAUGCGAGUGUUCGGGUGUCAAACCCCUACGCGUAAUGAAAGUGAACGGAGGUGAGAACCGCAAGGUGCAUCAUCGACCGAUCCUGAUGUCUUCGGAUGGAUUUGAGUAAGAGCAUAGCUGUUGGGACCCGAAAGAUGGUGAACUAUGCCUGAAUAGGGUGAAGCCAGAGGAAACUCUGGUGGAGGCUCGCAGCGGUUCUGACGUGCAAAUCGAUCGUCAAAUUUGGGUAUAGGGGCGAAAGACUAAUCGAACCAUCUAGUAGCUGGUUCCUGCCGAAGUUUCCCUCAGGAUAGCAGUAACGUUUUCAGUUUUAUGAGGUAA
rnacentral:rRNA from 1 species